rnacentral:rRNA from 1 species
UAACAAAAACAUUUCUAUUAGAUUUUAUUAAUAGUAUAAUCUGCUCAAUGAUAUUAAAUAGCCGCUAUUACUGUGCUAAGGUAGCAUAAUCAUUUGUCUUUUAAUUAAAGACUAGAACAAAAGAUUGAACAUUUUAAUUAAUAUAUCCAAACUAAUUAAUUAAAUUUAUUUUAAAUGUAAAAAAACAUUUAUAAAUUAGAAAGACGAUAAGACCCUAUUAAACUUAACUUAAGUUAAACUGGGGCAGUUAAUUAAUUAUCAUUUUAAUUUAAAUACAAAAAUAAAUAGAUCCUAUAAAAUAGAUUAAAUGAUCAAGUUACUAUAGGGAUAACAGCGUAAUAUUAAUUAAAAGACCUUAUUAAAAUAAAAGAUUACGACCUCGAUGUUGAAUUAAUAACCUAUAUAGUUGCAAUAAACAAUAAAGG